rnacentral:lncRNA from 1 species
GAGAACUAAACAACGCUAAAGCUGGGGUCGAAGAAAGAGUUCAGAAGAAGGGUUUACUUUGAUUGGGUUGGUCCCUAUGCUGAAAGAAUAGGUUCCAAACGGAAAAGUAAUGAGUAAAAACUGACAUUCCAGUAACAACAUCCACUUUGUCUUUAGGUAUAAAUUUGGUAAUUAGUGGGUGUCUCACUAAAAUGUUCUGCAGGUGUAUCACUCAACACUCAAUUUUCUCUCGGUUUUUGGGUAAGGGUGUCACUCACGAGUUCUGUAAGUGUAUCCCUCCACACAAAUACUGAGCUUCCAAAAUGCUGAGUACCUGCAAGAAAAUCACCUUAGCCACCCUUAAAGGGGGUCACCGGUGGUGCAAUGGGAGUUCGUAAUUCCCAGUCCCUGCAGACUCAUCAGAUAAAUCCGAAUCAUGGUCCACAAGUUGCCAACCACUAAGUGGCUUAUCCAAUUAAGGAUCCAGAGUUGUUUGCUCUGGGAGGUUAGACAAAGGCUUAAUUAUGGCAAAGGCC